UAAAAGCCACUUUGUUUACUCUAUACAAAGCAGUGUUGUAGGCUGGAGUCAUGUUGUGCUCUGGUAACAAGGGCUGAUUGCUUGUAUUUUUUUAAUUCAUGCUCAGGAGUUGAAAAGCUACCAUGAUGUUUACGUCUCUGAUUUGAGGGGCACAAAAUUAGAGUAGCCUCAACUUACGCUUUUGAGUUACAGGAGCUGUAGUAGUUCUGAGGGAUCAUUCUGCAGGAGGGCAUUGCAUUUGGUAUCUCCAUAAUGUGUCUGCACUGAGACUUCAGCUGACGUGAUCUAUUUAUUCAACAAGGGAACCUUCACGACACCAUUUCACUAGCUACUCGACAUGCAGAAAUGGUGGCAAUUGAUCAGGUCCUGGACUGGUGCCGGCAAAACAAUAAAAAUCACGAGGAAGUGUUUUCAAACUCAGUACUGUACGUAACCGUAGAGCCUUGUAUCAUGUGUGCGGCUGCCGUGCGCUUGAUGAGUAUCCUUUAAUGGUUUUCAUGCUGGGAAACCGCACGUCCAAAUGUUAGUUGUUUGGUAGCCAGCCUACAGAGAGGGGCUGGACACUGUCAGGCAAAGCCAACAGGGUUACCAUCUUAUUGCUUGAGAAUCUGUGCCAUCCUCCAUUUACUGCAUGGUAAGUAAUGAGAGAUUCAAGAACAAAAGAGGAAUGUUGCAGUUACGACAAACAAUGAUUUCUCUUAGCGAUAUAAAAAUACACUUUAGAAAUAAUUGCUAUUACAUAAAAUCAGCUAGUCUCAGUUCAGUGUUCAGUUUUGAACAGUGUAAGAGGUAGUAAAACAUGGCUUUGUAUGUCUCUGUUUUGGGAUUCAUGCUUCUGAGGAACGUUAUGCAUCUUCGGCAGCGCAUCUUAGAUUAUUCAGAAAUAAGUUCUGAUUUUAGGAGGGAGGAAUUACAGUGCAGACUAAUGUAGUUUGAAAAGCACAAGUACAUUUUAGUGAAAUUUAAUGACUACUUUAAUCAGGCUACUUUACUUCCUGCUUGGUUUUCACUUAAUACCUUAACUCAUUCACAUAAAUUCCACGGGUCAUAUAUGGCUGUCAAAAUGAGCGAUUUGGAGGCUGUGGCUCAGUUUUGAGCAUCUCAUCUGAUGAUAUGGUAGACACAGGAGAACCAUUUGAAUGCAUUUCUGGCUAUUAUGCCAAAGAAGCAGUGGAACUGUUAAAAGCUUUCUACAGACAAGAAAAUCCUAAUGCACCAAAAUCAAAAGUACGGAAAAAAGACCAUCGUAAGUAGGCCUACGCUGAUGUGAAACAGAAGUUUACAAAAACAUUGUGUGUGAAGGUUUCUUCAGCAUCCUUCUUUUUCAGAAUGUAUGGUCAAAUUAAACUAUGUUAAAUAUGUUCUAUGUGGUGUUUUUACUAAUGAGAUACUACCUGUUCCUGCGUCUCUGCCUAUGUCUGUGAUUUCUUGUUAUUAUAUAUUACCAAGCAGAAGAAUAAGUGACUCUUCUUGGGUGAGGGGAAGAUUUAUGGUUCCGGUUGAGAUGUUUACAGCCAGAUGGACCCACUAAAAUGAAGCCAUUCUGUACAGCACAUUCUAGGAUAUUUUCUUCUGCCUGGAGAAGCAUCUUGCAUUUCAAUAGCAAAUGUUUGCUUAGGGAAGUACGUAAAUCUCUUGGAAGGUUACAUUUGUGAGGCCUUCACAGUCCUGGUGCAUAUGUUUAAUCAAAAGACUAUAAGGCACUGUAUGUUCCUUGAAGAUUUGAGAUAAAACUGUUGUAACAGUUCUUCAUUGUUUUUUACACCCCCUCUAGCAUACACCAAAAUUUCAAACAAGUUCUAAAAGUCGUAUAGAUAUCUAGACAUGGAUAUAUGCAAAACAGCGUGUUUCAAUUUGCAUAUGCUAUUGCUAAUAAGCAUAAACAGACAUCACUUGGCUUUUCAUACAGCAGCAUUUUCAUACAAAGUUGUGGAGAAUGUGAAAUCUCAUCAGACUAUCCACUCCUCUCAUGAAUAUUAGCACAAGAAAUGCUUUAUCAUUAAGAAUCUGCUAAGAGUUAGCUACUGCAUUAUACUAAUUAAAAUGGUCAGAUACAUGUGAAAACAAGGACAUGAAAUUGCUAAUAGAAUGAAUAAAAUAUUUGAGAUACUGUA